GACGAACGCUGGCGGCGUGCUUAACACAUGCAAGUCGAACGGAAAGGCCCUGCUUUUGUGGGGUGCUCGAGUGGCGAACGGGUGAGUAACACGUGAGUAACCUGCCCUUGACUUUGGGAUAACUUCAGGAAACUGGGGCUAAUACCGGAUAGGAGCUCCUGCUGCAUGGUGGGGGUUGGAAAGUUUCGGCGGUUGGGGAUGGACUCGCGGCGUAUCAGCUUGUUGGUGGGGUAGUGGCUUACCAAGGCUUUGACGGGUAGCCGGCCUGAGAGGGUGACCGGCCACAUUGGGACUGAGAUACGGCCCGGACUCCUACGGGAGGCAGCAGUGGGGAAUAGUGCACAAUGGGCGGGAGCCUGAUGCAGCAACGCCGCGUGCGGGAUGACGGCCUUCGGGUUGUAAACCGCUUUCGCCUGUGACGAAGCGUGAGUGACGGUAAUGGGUAAAGAAGCACCGGCUAACUACGUG
rnacentral:rRNA from 1 species